rnacentral:rRNA from 1 species
UACAGGGGGGGCAAGCGUUGUUCGGAAUUACUGGGCGUAAAGGGCUCGUAGGCGGCCAACUAAGUCCGACGUGAAAUCCCAAAGCUUAACUUUGGAACUGCGUCGGAUACUGGAUGGCUUGAAUUCGGGAGAGGGAUGCAGAAUUCCAGGUGUAGCGGUGAAAUGCGUAGAUAUCUGGAGGAACACCGGGUGGCGAAGGCGGCAUCCUGGACCAAUAUUGACGCUGAGGAGCGAAAGCCAGGGGAGCAAAGCGGGG